rnacentral:lncRNA from 1 species
GUCUAUCUAUAUUUUUUAAACAAUCACGAUAUUCAAAAAGGAUCCAUAACUCAUCAUCGGAAGGUUCUACUUUCGAGAUAAAAUGGACUUACCGGAAGUACCGACAUGUUGCCAUGUUGGAAUGUGCCUUUUAGUUGUAUGGGCUAAGGAAAAUGGCAGUUUAGGCGAGAAAAGGGCAUGUAUUUUGGCUGAAAGUGGAAGAAUAUUAGCCCAUAAGGUUGUUUAACAGUUGAGCAGACGAGGAGAAGCAUUAAAGCUUCAAUUUGAAAUACCAUCAGGAGAGAUGUUUCCGAUUCUGUUGCGGCCUCUUGAUUUUAAUCCUACGUCUUCAAAUAUCGAUUCAGUGACAGAGACACUUUAGCAGCUUCAAAAUAAAUCACCUGGUUACUGCACUGCAAUUAAUCUUGUGCACAGUAUGUAUCAACUGGUCAUACAUACAGGGUAACAUGCACGAACAUAGGGCAUAAUAGCUCAUAAAUUAAAUUCACAUGACAUGAUCCAAGCACACAGCAGCCAGCAAGUCAUUAGGCAUGAACUGAUGAAAAGAUGUACAAACAUUAUGAGGAUCUGCAUACAGGGAAGCCGUGAAUCUUGAGCUCAUGCAAAAUUCAUUGAACUCCUGGUAUGUCUAUAUAUGUUCCAUAUGGCAGUGGUAGAUCAACAUUAAGAAAUUACACCGUCAGAGAGUUGCAUUGAGACAGAACAUCGAGCUAGUCCCGGUGUGGUUGUAGUAACCACACCGCCGCCGCAAGAGGCCGCCUCCACCCCGUUCCUCCCCCCUCGCCGCCGCCACAGGGCGN